rnacentral:lncRNA from 1 species
AUUAGUUAUAGUGAGGAUAUACAAAAUUUGUUGCUGUAAACUUAGAAGUUAUAAAUGCAUAUAACAUCUAAUUAAUGCACUUGUAAACUAUUGAAUCAUUUUUUUUUCAAAAUAGCAUAUUAAUUACUCAUAAAAUACAAUUGAAAAAAAAUUAUAAGUCAAUUGGUUAAAUUUUGUACUUAUACAGUAUUAUGCAUUCACAAUGAUUGCAAAAGUAGGAGAUAUGCUCUAGAAUCAUUAAUAUUGCAUUGGGUGCAGAUGCCAUCACAUACAAACGUAUACUUAAUGUCGCACUGAGAGAAUAUUGUAACAGGUCA